rnacentral:rRNA from 1 species
UACGUAGGGACCAAGCGUUGUUCGGAAUUACUGGGCGUAAAGGGCGCGUAGGCGGCCUUCUAAGUCAGACGUGAAAUCCCCAGGCUCAACCUGGGAACUGCGUCUGAUACUGGAUGGCUUGAAUCCGGGAGAGGGAUGCAGAAUUCCAGGUGUAGCGGUGAAAUGCGUAGAUAUCUGGAGGAAUACCGGUGGCGAAGGCGGCAUCCUGGACCGGCAUUGACGCUGAGGAGCGAAAGCUAGGGGAGCAAACGGG